AUUGAACGCUGGCGGCAUGCCUUACACAUGCAAGUCGAACGGCAGCACGGGAGCAAUCCUGGUGGCGAGUGGCGAACGGGUGAGUAAAGUAUCGGAACGUGCCCAGUCGUGGGGGAUAACGUAGCGAAAGUUACGCUAAUACCGCAUACGAUCUAUGGAUGAAAGCGGGGGAUCGCAAGACCUCGCGCGAUUGGAGCGGCCGAUAUCAGAUUAGGUAGUUGGUGGGGUAAAGGCUCACCAAGCCGACGAUCUGUAGCUUGUCUGAGGGGAAGACCAGCCGCACUGGGACUGAGACACGGACCAGACUCCUACGGGAGGCAGCAGUCGGGAAUUUUGGACAAUGGGCGAAAGCCUGAUCCAGCCAUGCCGCGUGCAGGAUGAAGGCCUUCGGGUUGUAAACUGCUUUUGUACGGAACGAAAAGGUUUGGGCUAAUAAGCUGAGCUCAUGACGGUACCGUAGGAAUAAGCACCGGCUAACUACGUGCCAGCAGCCGCCGCAG
rnacentral:rRNA from 1 species